rnacentral:lncRNA from 1 species
GUGCAAAAUCAAGAAUCUGAAGUCCAGGACUAGCACUACUAAAAACAGCAAAAGCAACAGCAUUUCUCUUACCAGCAGUAGCUUGAAAAUGCAACAAACCUUGUGGAAAAACCAUAAGCUCACCUUUCUUCAAUGUCUUGAUAUAAACAGUGUUAGCUGAUGAAACAAAUCCAGCAGUGAUGUGACCUUGUGUCACAACAAGAAGUUCACUGGCACCAGGGUGAGUGUGAAGUGGGAUAACACCAGCAGGACCAAGGUCUAACCUUGCUGCAGAGAGACCAAGACCAUUAACAGCUGGAAAUUGAGCAACAAAUGCAGGUGUAACGGCGGCGUUGAUAAUGUUUGUUAUGUUUCCAGCCUGAAGGAGUGUCUGAGCCUUUGAUAUCUGCUACACAGAAAUCUUGAACAGAAGCAUUGGAAAUGGAUAGGAAAAGUGAAAGGAGGAAAAUGAUUUGAAUCAUGUUUGGGUUUGUUUGAUGAUGAAUUUGGUUUGAAUGUGAAUGU